rfam:Ictidomys tridecemlineatus contig065584, whole genome shotgun sequence.
GUCUACGGCCAUAUCACCCUGAACGCGCCCGAUCUCGUCUGAUUUCAGAAGAUAAGCAGGGUCGGGUCUGGUUAGUACUUGGAUGGGAGAAACAGAGCCCUUCAGGAGGUCCUGGUGUUCAACC